CCUACGGGAGGCAGCAGUGGGGGAUAUUGCACAAUGGGGGAAACCCUGAUGCAGCGACGCCGCGUGAGGGAAGACGGCCUUCGGGUUGUAAACCUCUGUCUUCGGGGACGAAUAAAUGACGGUACCCGAGGAGGAAGCCACGGCUAACUACGUGCCAGCAGCCGCGGUAAUACGUAGGUGGCAAGCGUUGUCCGGAAUUACUGGGUGUAAAGGGAGCGUAGGCGGGGAGGCAAGUUGAAUGUCUAAACUAUCGGCUCAACUGAUAGUCGCGUUCAAAACUGCCACUCUUGAGUGCAGUAGAGGUAGGCGGAAUUCCUAGUGUAGCGGUGAAAUGCGUAGAUAUUAGGAGGAACACCAGUGGCGAAGGCGGCCUACUGGGCUGUAACUGACGCUGAGGCUCGAAAGCGUGGGUAGCAAACAGGAU
rnacentral:rRNA from 1 species